CCUACGGGUGGCAGCAGUGGGGAAUAUUGCGCAAUGGGCGAAAGCCUGACGCAGCGACGCCGCGUGAGGGAUGAAGGUCUUCGGAUCGUUAACCUCUGUCAGCAGGGAAGAACGGUCACUGUGCUAAUCAGCAGUGAAUUGACGGUACCUGCAAAGGAAGCACCGGCGAACUCCGUGCCAGCAGCCGCGGUAAUACGGAGGGUGCGAGCGUUAAUCGGAAUUACUGGGCGUAAAGCGCUCGUAGGCGGUAUGUCAAGUCAAGGGUGAAAUCCCCGCGCUCAACGUGGGAACUGCAUUUGAAACGGGCAAACUGGAGUGUGUGAGAGGAUAGUGGAAUGCCAGGUGUAGGAGUGAAAUCCGUAGAUAUCUGGAGGAACAUCAGUGGCGAAGGCGACUAUCUGGCACAUAACUGACGCUGAGGAGCGAAAGCGUGGGUAGCAAACAGGAUUAGAUACCCUUGUAGUC
rnacentral:rRNA from 1 species